CUUCAACGACCCCAACCACAACGGACGAUCCGGAUCCCGGUCCUGCCCGUAGGUGGCCAGCAGCGCCUGGGCCUC
rnacentral:antisense_RNA from 1 species